AUGCAGUCGAUAGUUUCUUUCUUCCAGAGAAUAUACAUCGAAGCUUGAUAGGUAAUCCUAAGAAAGUAAGGAUCGUAGUCAUAUUUUUGUCUUAGAACGGAUUCUUAAGGCAUCUAACACCAUCGCCAAAUUUAUCUCUCAUGACAGUUAUUAGGUUUCAAAACUCUCCAAGAUUAUAUUGAAUUGCACAAGAAGCAUGUCGGAAGUUGAAACAAAAGUAAUGUUGCUGAUCUAAGAAUAAAUUUUGGGCUUGACUUAAUUGUAGCCCAUUAUAUAACAUUCAGGUCAGUGUAUAAAUCAUUUUAAUUUAUUUUCUUUCCAAAAUCAUAUAUACCACAACGAAAGCAUAAAAACCACAAAAAAAUAUUAAAUGAAAAAUACACAUUCCAAGAAGAAGGUAAACAAAUCGUGAAGUGUUUUGUGGGUUUAAAUCUCUACCAAUCUCACUUUCUUUUUUUCUGAGAGAACCUGAAUUUUUUUUCUGAUAAUGGACAUAGCGAGUACCAACCGGUUUAAGAAGAAGGUUUGUGAUGGUUGCAGUGAAGCUAUGCCAACUGGGAAAAAGCGGAAGAAUGAAAGGACGUUAAUGAACAAAGAUGUGAAUGCCAAAAGAUUGAAGAAAGAUGUGAAAAGGUGAGUUCUCAAAGGUUAGAGUGGAGUGAGGAAGACGAGAUCCGUGUGCUACAAGGUAUGAUGGAUUUCAAAGCUGUAACAGUACAAAAUCUUUCUAAUGAUAUGAACGUAACUUACGAAAUCCUUUAGGAAUAUAUAAGCGUUGAUGUUUGUAGCUAUGCAUUUGUAGAGAAGAUGAAGAGUAUGAAAAAGAAAUUAAUGGAGAAAAUGAGGAUUAACGCUAAAGAUUUGUCUUCUUCGGUUCCGAGUUGUUGAAACUUAUUUGGGGAUGUGAUGUGAAAUUGGCUUGUUCUAUCUUAAGUAAGUUAUACUCAACAACAGAUUUCACAUCAUAUCUCCAAAUCAGUUUUAACAACUCAGAACCGAUCGAAGAAGACAGAUCUUUAGCGUUAAUCCCCAUUUUCUCUAUUAAUUUCUUCUUCAAACUCUUCAUCUUCUCUACGAACUCAUAGCUAUAAACGUCAACGCUUAUAUAUUCAUGGAGGAAGUUGUAAGCUCCGGUCAUAUCAUCAGAAGGAUUAUGCCUUGUUAGAGCUUUGAAAUCCAUCAUACCUUGUAGCACACGAUCUCGUCUUUUUCACUUCACUCUAACCUUUGAGAACUUACUUUUCUUGGCAUUCACGUUUUUGUUCGUUAACGUUCUUUCGUUCUUCCGUUUCUUUCCAGUUGGCUUAGCUUCACCAGAACCACCACAAACCUCCUUCUUGGACCGGUUGGUAUUCGCUUUGUCCAUUAUCAAAAAAUGUUUUAGGUUCUCUGAGAGGAAAAGAGAGCGAGAAUUGGUAGAAAUUUAAACCAACAAAGCACUUGACUAUUUAUUUACCUUUUUCUUAGAAAUGUGUAUUUUUUAUUUAAUAUUCUUUUAUAGAUUUUAUGCUUUUUUGUGAUAUAUAUAAUUUUGAAAAGAAAAUAAAUUAAAAGAAUUUAUAUAGUGACAUGAAUGUUAUAUAAUGAGCCAUAAUUAAGUCAAACCCAAGAUUGGUUCGACAAUUCGUUUUUGGUUAAAUUGAUAGCAAGUGUGGGCGUGAGUGGAGAUUCUGUGAAAAGAAGAUGGAGUUUGUUGCACACAAACAAGAUAAAGAUGAUUGAAGACAAAUGGAGAGUCUUGAUGACCAAAGAAGAUAAAUUUGUGUUGCAAAAGAUAGAGCUUUUGCAUGAAGUGGUUUCUCUGAUCAUUUACGUUGAAGCAUUUACUCACUAGAUGCAAAAUGUUUCUUGAUUUGCUUUUUUUGUUGGAUUUUUCUGUCCAAGUUUUUGCUUUAUAUUAUGUCAUUGUUGCUUCUAUGUUUAGAAUCUGACCUCUAUUAAAUGUGAAACUUCAUUAGUAUUUUUGGUUA
rnacentral:sRNA from 1 species